CCUACGGGGGGCAGCAGUGGGGAAUAUUGCGCAAUGGGCGAAAGCCUGACGCAGCGACACCGCGUGAGGGAUGAAGGUCUUCGGAUCGUAAACCUCUGUCAGCAGGGAAGAACGGUCACUGUGCUAAUCAGCAGUGAAUUAACGGUACCUGACGAAUAAGCCACGGCUAACUACGUGCCAGCAGCCGCGGUAAUACGUAGGUGGCAAGCGUUAUCCGGAUUUACUGGGUGGAAAGGGCGUGUAGGCGGGGAAGCAAGUCAGAUGUGAAAACCACGGGCUCAACCUGUGGCCUGCAUUUGAAACUGUUUUUCUUGAGUGCUGGAGAGGCAAUCGGAAUUCCGUGUGUAGCGGUGAAAUGCGUAGAUAUACGGAGGAACACCAGUGGCGAAGGCGGAUUGCUGGACAGUAACUGACGCUGAGGCGCGAAAGCGUGGGGAGCAAACAGGAUUAGAUACCCCAGUAGUC
rnacentral:rRNA from 1 species